rnacentral:lncRNA from 1 species
UGUGUGGAAUAAUUGGAAAGAAGGGUGGCGCCUACCUCCCUUUUUGGUAGGACCAAGGGGCACCAACCCCUUGAAUAAUGCAAGAGGGGCCCGCCCCCUCUUGUGGCAUGGCAUGGAAGAGAGAGAGAGAAAGGCCACGCCCCCUCUCUUGAAUGAAAACCCUAGAAUGGGGUGUCAAGGGUUGGCGCCCCCACCACCUACCCUGUAUUCCAUGAGACGCCCCAUAUGCUUAUCAAAAGGGACUGAUAUCCUACCAAUUAAGUUUGAUUUUAAUAAUU